UUAAUCCUACGGGGCGCAGCAGUGGGGAUUAUUGCACAAUGGGGGAAACCCUGAUGCAGCGACGCCGCGUGAGUGAAGAAGUAUUUCGGUAUGUAAAGCUCUAUCAGCAGGGAAGAAAAUGACGGUACCUGACUAAGAAGCCCCGGCUAACUACGUGCCAGCAGCCGCGGUAAUACGUAGGGGGCAAGCGUUAUCCGGAUUUACUGGGGGUAAAGGGAGCGUAGACGGCGCGGCAAGUCUGAAGUGAAAGGCAGGGGCUUAACCCCUGAACUGCUUUGGAAACUGCCAUGCUAGAGGGCUGGGGG
rnacentral:rRNA from 1 species